UUAGAGUUUGAUCCUGGCUCAGGAUGAACGCUAGCGGCAGGCUUAACACAUGCAAGUCGAGGGGCAGCAUGUCCAGCAAUGGAUGAUGGCGACCGGCGGAAGGGUGCGUAACGCGUGAGCAACAUGCCCUAUACAGGGAGAUACACCAGGGAAACUUGGUCUAAUAUCCCAUAGCAUUCAUUGAAGGCAUCUUUAAUGAGUUAAAGCUUCGGUGGUAUAGGAUUGGCUCGCGUGACAUUAGCCAGAUGGUGAGGUAACGGCUCACCAUAGCAAUGAUGUCUAGGGGUUUUGAGAGGAAGGCCCCCCACACUGGGACUGAGACACGGCCCAGACUCCUACGGGAGGCAGCAGUGAGGAAUAUUGGACAAUGGAUGGAAAUCUGAUCCAGCCAUGCCGCGUGCAGGAAGACGGCCUUAUGGGUUGUAAACUGCUUUUAUACGGGAGCAAUAAGGGUUACGAGUAAUCCGAUGAGAGUACUGUAUGAAUAAGGAUCGGCUAACUCCGUGCCAGCAGCCGCGGUAAUACGGAGGAUCCGAGCGUUAUCCGGAAUUAUUGGGUUUAAAGGGUGCGUAGGCGGCCAUUUAAGUCAGCGGUGAAAUUUUGCAGCUUAACUGUAACAGUGCCGUUGAUACUGUUUGGCUAGGAUUUGGUUGUAGUGUGCGGAAUGUGUGGUGUAGCGGUGAAAUGCUUAGAUAUCACACAGAACACCGAUUGCGAAGGCAGCACACUAAGUCAUUAUUGACGCUGAGGCACGAAAGUGUGGGGAUCAAACAGGAUUAGAUACCCUGGUAGUCCACACUGUAAACGCUGAAAAGUCGCUGUCGGCGAUACACAGUCGGUGGCCAAGCGAAAGCAUUAAGUUAUCCACCUGGGGAGUACGACCGCAAGGUUGAAACUCAAAGGAAUUGACGGGGGCCCGCACAAGCGGAGGAACAUGUGGUUUUUUUCGUUGUUGCGCGUGGGGCCUUCCCCGGGCUCGGGCGGUGCGUGGGUGUUCGUGGGGUUGUGUUGUCCUUCGGGGCGUGUCUCGUGGUGCUGCGUGGUUGUCGUCUGCUCGUGCCGUGGGGUGUCGGCUUUUGUGCCGUCUCGCGCGCGGCCCCCGUCUUUUGUUGCCGUCCGGUCGCGCUGGGGGCUUUUUUGUGGCUGCCCCCGUCCGGUGUGUGGGGGGGGGGGGGGGCGUCUUUUCUGCGCGGCCCUUCUGUCCGGGGGGGCGCCCGUGUUUCUUUGGGGGGUGCGGUGGGCGGCUGUCCGGUGGCGGGGUGCUUUUCUCCUCUCCCUUUCUCUGUUCGGGUUGGGGUGUGCGGCUCGCCUCC
rnacentral:rRNA from 1 species